UCGCUGCAAAUAUCUAUGACCGUUUUCAACCAUCUUACAUUUUGUCACAAUCUAAGAUAUUUGCAAUGGACAAGAAAAUCACCGCAAAAUAGAUCCUACCGCCGCAAUAUCAAUGGCGACAUUUUUCCCAAUCGUCGGAAUAGAUAUUUGCAUAGAUGCCUGCCUGCCUGCUGCUAGCUUCGUACAUAUCUAGUGUCUUUCUCCAGCGGUUCAGUUCUUCUCUGAAGAUUUGCAUACAUGUAUUCAGCCAUGGAGAACAAAAUUGGCGAUUCUACAUCUAACAUUACCAGUGAGCUUGACAUGAUUUCAUUAGAAGAUAAAUAAUUGGCUGAACAAAUGAAGGCAGAGUACCAGAUUAUGUUUGCCAAUGUGCAUUAUUAGCAGCUCAGCCAAACCAAGAUCCGACUCCAACUCACCUAAGCAAAAUCUCACAGCAUCCACCUCAGCAGUACACGCAUCAGUCAAGCCUUCUCAGCAUGAAGACUCUUCCAGAAACUCCUAGAAAACCUUUGCUGAAAUUCUUUGAAUUGGUUUCUGUUAUUCCCUUGUAAAUGGCAUCUUACGGUUACAACAAUAGGCCUGUAAAUAGCUCUAGGCAGCACGCACACCACGUGCUUGAGUAAAUGUCCAAACUAUUCUGUAAUUCUCCUAUAUAAAGGAGUCCUUGUAAACAGUAUUUUUACAUGAAAGAAAUAUAGAAAUUCAUUAAUCGUUCA